GAUGAACGCUGGCGGCGUGCCUAAUACAUGCAAGUCGAGCGAACAGACGAGGAGCUUGCUCCUCUGACGUUAGCGGCGGACGGGUGAGUAACACGUGGAUAACCUACCUAUAAGACUGGGAUAACUUCGGGAAACCGGAGCUAAUACCGGAUAAUAUAUUGAACCGCAUGGUUCAAUAGUGAAAGACGGUUUUGCUGUCACUUAUAGAUGGAUCCGCGCCGCAUUAGCUAGUUGGUAAGGUAACGGCUUACCAAGGCAACGAUGCGUAGCCGACCUGAGAGGGUCAUCGGCCACACUGGAACUGAGACACGGUCCAGACUCCUACGGGAGGCAGCAGUAGGGAAUCUUCCGCAAAGGGCGAAAGCCUGACGGAGCAACGCCGCGUGAGUGAUGAAGGUCUUCGGAUCGUAAAACUCUGUUAUUAGGGAAGAACAAAUGUGUAAGUAACUAUGCACGUCUUGACGGUACCUAAUCAGAAAGCCACGGCUAACUACGUG
rnacentral:rRNA from 1 species